rnacentral:rRNA from 1 species
CGUAGGUGGCAAGCGUUAUCCGGAAUUAUUGGGCGUAAAGAGCGCGCAGGUGGUUGAUUAAGUCUGAUGUGAAAGCCCACGGCUUAACCGUGGAGGGUCAUUGGAAACUGGUCGACUUGAGUGCAGAAGAGGGAAGUGGAAUUCCAUGUGUAGCGGUGAAAUGCGUAGAGAUAUGGAGGAACACCAGUGGCGAAGGCGGCUUCCUGGUCUGUAACUGACACUGAGGCGCGAAAGCGUGGGGAGCAAACAGGAUUAGAUA